rnacentral:rRNA from 1 species
UACGUAGGGUGCAAGCGUUAUCCGGAAUUACUGGGCGUAAAGAGCUUGUAGGCGGUUUGUCGCGUCUGCUGUGAAAACUGGAGGCUCAACCUCCAGCCUGCAGUGGGUACGGUCAGACUAGAGUGCGGUAGGGGAGAUUGGAAUUCCUGGUGUAGCGGUGAAAUGCGCAGAUAUCAGGAGGAACACCGAUGGCGAAGGCAGGUCUCUGGGCCACUACUGACGCUGAGAAGCGAAAGCGUGGGGAGCGAACAGG